rnacentral:rRNA from 1 species
AUGAUUGAGCGCUCCAGAAAUCAAGAGUACCAGGGAUCAAAUUUGAGACAGUUCAGCACCGCUUCUUACUUCGCUUUCUCUACUUUGACAUUUUCACAUGCUCAGACUAUUAGAAGCCCCUUGUCAAAAAUUGUUGUGGUGGUAUGGUGCUUUGUGGUUCUGAUUGUAGUGCAGAGUUACACAGCAAGCUUGUCAGCCAUACUAACCGCAAAGAGCCGCCGGCCUUCAGUGACAGAUCUGAACCAGCUCCAGCUCAGGAAUGGCUCUGUUGGACACCAAGAGGGGUCAUUUCUGCGGUCCAUCUUGAUAAAAAAUUAUUAUUUCGACAAAGAUAGGCUACAGAGCUACAUAAAGAAAGAGGACUAUGCUGAUGCUUUGAGAAAUGGAUCGGUAUCAGCUAUCGUUGAUGAGCUUCCCUUCUUGACAUCAUUCUUCUCUGAUCCUCGGAAUAAGGAAGACUUUAGGAUGGUUAAUCUCAUGUACAUGACUCCUGGAUUUGGUUUUGCAUUCUGUCUAGGUUCGCCGCUCGUGCAUGAUCUUUCUACUGCCAUCUUGAACAUAACUGGAGGCGACGAGGGAUUGAGGAUUCAACGAAAAUGGUUAGGCGCAGAUCCACAGUCGUCAUCGGUGGGUGAUGGCAGCUCCGACCCUGAUUCCACGCAAAUCAGUUUGCCAAGCGUCGCUGGUGCGUUCGUCAUCACCGGAGUUAUUUCGACUCUCAUGCUGCUGGUAAGCAUUGGGAGGCUGGUUCAUGCCAGCCGUACCAGUGGGAGAGUAGCUGAUGUGGAAAGUUUCAAUGGUGGUGGUGGUGACAACGUCGGCCAAGAUUCUCUUCAAUUGGAGAAUGGCAACAUAGGCCACGAUUCUGCUGCCUCGGAUCAACCCCUCUGUGAAACCGCGAACAGCGAGUCCCAUUGGCGCUUUGAGAAUGCUGGUGGCCAAGAGGCUUGUCCAAUGCAGCAGAAUGGCAUGCACAGCGGCUCUGCGGCUGCAGAAUCCAUCCAGAUUGAGAUGAGAACUGCCUGA